CCUACGGGUGGCAGCAGUGAGGAAUAUUGGUCAAUGGGCGGGAGCCUGAACCAGCCAAGCCGCGUGAGGGAAGAAGGUACAGCGUAUCGUAAACCUCUUUUGUCAGGGAACAAAUGCCGGUACGAGUCGCCGGAUGGGGGUACCUUAAGAAAAAGGAUCGGCUAACUUCGUGCCAGCAGCCGCGGUAAUACGGGGUAUUCGAGCGUUAUCCGGGUUUAUUUGGGUUUAAGGGUUCGGAGGCGGCAUUUAAAGGCCGCGGUAAAAUCCCGGGGCUCAACCCUGGCUGGCCGUUGAAACUGGCGGGCUGGAGUGGGCGAGAAGUACGCGGAAUGCGUGGUGUAGCGGUGAAAUGCUUAGAUAUCGCGCAGAACUCCGAUUGCGAAGGCAGCGUACCGGCUCCACACUGACGCUGAGGCACGAAAGCGUGGGUAUCGAACAGGAUUAGAUACCCGAGUAGUC
rnacentral:rRNA from 1 species